CCUGGUGACCCUAGCGGCGGACUAGGUGUAUUAACACGUGGUAUAACCGUACCUUAUAAGACUGGGAUAACUUCGGGAAACCGGAGCUAAUACCGGAUAAUAUAUUGAACCGCAUGGUUCAAUAGUGAAAGACGGUUUUGCUGUCACUUAUAGAUGGAUCCGCGCCGCAUUAGCUAGUUGGUAAGGUAACGGCUUACCAAGGCAACGAUGCGUAGCCGACCUGAGAGGGUGAUCGGCCACACUGGAACUGAGACACGGUCCAGACUCCUACGGGAGGCAGCAGUAGGGAAUCUUCCGCAAUGGGCGAAAGCCUGACGGAGCAACGCCGCGUGAGUGAUGAAGGUCUUCGGAUCGUAAAACUCUGUUAUUAGGGAAGAACAAAUGUGUAAGUAACUGUGCACGUCUUGACGGUACCUAAUCAGAAAGCCACGGCUAACUACGUGCCAGCAGCCGCGGUAAUACGUAGGUGGCAAGCGUUAUCCGGAAUUAUUGGGCGUAAAGCGCGCGUAGGCGGUUUUUUAAGUCUGAUGUGAAAGCCCACGGCUCAACCGUGGAGGGUCAUUGGAAACUGGAAAACUUGAGUGCAGAAGAGGAUAGUGGAAUUCCAUGUGUAGCGGUGAAAUGCGCAGAGAUAUGGAGGAACACCAGUGGCGAAGGCGACUUUCUGGUCUGUAACUGACGCUGAUGUGCGAAAGCGUGGGGAUCAAACAGGAUUAGAUACCCUGGUAGUCCACGCCGUAAACGAUGAGUGCUAAGUGUUAGGGGGGUUUCCGCCCCUUAGUGCUGCAGCUAACGCAUUAAGCACUCCGCCUGGGGAGUACGACCGCAAGGUUGAAACUCAAAGGA
rnacentral:rRNA from 2 species